UCCGAACUGUAUCUCUUCCGGCUGAGGACAGAGAAGUAUCUUGGAGACACGUUUUCAGAGGAAGUGGAAUUGCUUUUGCCCAGACAAAUGGCAAACACGUGAAACAACCAGUGAUCAUGCUUUAGAAUCCUACAGCAUCAUUCUGGGCUGCUCCAACACGCUUGAAGAUCUGAGCUUUCCUUAAAACUAAGGGCAGUCUUCUUAGCCUGUGAUCAUGUGUCAAGACACCGUUGCAAAGAAGGAUAUUGUCCUUCCUAUUUGAAAAUUUGCACAUGCUCAAUGCUUACAUUGUGCAGUUCAGUGUCACUACAG
rnacentral:lncRNA from 1 species